rnacentral:rRNA from 1 species
AUGCCUCAUCCCAUCUUUAAAGACGACACUGUUGCUAAGGGAGCUUUGGCUGUCGGCCAAACUCUCCGGCUAGGUGGUUUUCUUAUGACCGCCUGUUCGGCCGCUACGCCAAUGAUGACUUCUCGGGUCAUCAAAAGCAAUCUUCACGUCAACUCGGAACUCGCCGAGCAGUUAGAUCCAAUGGAGCUCUCUUCCCUAAACGAGCUCUUGGAUCGCAUCGCCGCCCUGGGAGUCGCUACAGACUACGAUCAGAUUGGGCCUAAACCCGAUCUGAGAGAGAUCAACUCUCCCCAGGUCACCCAUCACGUUGCAGUGGUGGAGGAACAAUGCGGCGACCCUUCAUCUAUCUUAAGGACUAGCUAUGUCCGCAUUCCUGAUCCCUCCAAGCCGGAUACCCGCGGAGGGGAGGAUGUCACUCAAGACCUGAACCUAGAGUCAGGCAGUGGGCUAGAUUCAGUGGAAAACAUCUAA